AUUUUCUAUUGCAGUAAACACAUUUUUUCCAAUGAAAUUAUUAAUAAAUUUGUAAAUCGUUGCUGUCGCUAUUUUGUCUCCACGCGCCGUCAGAAACGCCAUUGUCAAUGCUACCGUUACGAAGCCAAAAUUGUCGGAAUCUCAAAUAUGGUUAGCAGACACACACAAAAAUUCCCAAGCUACUUGUCUGCCAUCGGAUUGAAAAACUGGCAACUAGAUCGACCGUUUCGUUUUGUGAGUAGUUUUCUAUUGGACUUGCACUCUUGCUCUCUGAGUGUACCCUCCACCAAGUGGGACGGCAUCUCAAUUUCCCAACGCAGAACUGCAAACGAAGACCAGACACGGAGAAACGCAGUGGAGAAACGUUACGAUUGACCGCAAGGCACACGGUAUGGGAAAGAUACCAAGAGAUGCAGGGGGAAGCGAACAGCAGUUGCAGACAGGAAAAGAAGAGUUGAAGUUGAAAUAGCCAAAAGAGAAAGCUUGAAAAUUCUGUGAAAUAAUUGGACGUCUUUCUAAAUUUUUCAACAUCGGUAGAAACAACGAAAGGUAACUGACGUUCAGAAAAAUACUGAAUAGGCGAUGAUCGAACAGAAGACGUUCCAUUUUCUGACUAUGAGGAAAUCCGUACAGCAAUUGUCCGCCUUAAAAAUGACAAAUUGGCCUCAGCCGAGUGACGAAUAUGGUCAGACGAAAGCAUGUCCAUUGAUUAUAACCUUACUGUUCUCUGCACAAUCCUUAUCGAGCGUGGAAGUCUAGAGCCAAGAGUCAACAAACUGAUUGACCCCUGUCAAUGUAGUUUCAGAACAAGCAAAUCUACAAUUGGCCAUAUAUUCACCGAUAUGGCUCCUCGGUAUGGUACUUCUCAGCAACACCAAAAGAUCCGUCAGAAUCGAGUUUUCAAUAUCAAGCUAGGUUUCAGUUCGGGUGACUUUUUGGCAUGGAAUCCUUCAAAUUAAUGCUGAAGCAAAUAAUAUCGGCUGAGAAAGUAAACAGAGUAGAAUCUUCAAUAAGAGUGGCCACGAUAGCCGUGCCGUCAUUUCUGUUUGCCCCAUACUGGAUAGGGAAGCUAGGCGAAUGGGUCGGUAGUAUACGAGAAUAAGACGAAAUAUCUGAUGACGUCCAACCAAUCAACAGUUAGCGCUCAGGUAUCAUCAUUAACGUCAACAACAAUUUCAGCGGACCAACGCAUAAUCACCCUCACCAACGUGUGCCACUUCGGACAGAGUAGACAAAUGGAAAGUAAAGUCUUCUUUCAAUAUAAAGGUUGAAAUGUAGACAAUCUGAAGAGUGAGGACUUGGGUAGACCAGUUGGUCCAUGUUUUUUGAAACUUUCCAAAGACGAAUACCGCAGGUGAUGAAGCGAUGAGCUGUACAAGAUAUACGACGGCAUUUACAUAGUUCAGCGAAUUAAGAGGCACUGAUUCGGUGACUAAUGUCGGCGCGGUGAGGAUCUAAUAGCCUGAUGUAACCUCGAAUAAGUCUUAGACUUAGACCAUUGGGGUCUUGUUACAAAAUUCUCUAAACUUUUACGUGCCUUUGCUAUCCUUGUUUUCCAAGCAUUCAGAGAAAGUAAUCUGAUGACACGGCGUAUUGGGUAUAAAUAGGAAUCAGCGAAUUGGUAAUGAAAUUCUGCUUUGUUGAAAAUUACAGAUUUUCAUUCUCUGGGUCUGGUAUAUGUGGUAAAUGACCAAAAAGAAGGCAUCGUUCCAGACGCGUCAGGCGGCAGUAAUCUAUCAUGAUAUUUCUUAAAGAGUACAACCACUCUAAGAAUUUGGAUUUUCUCUUUUUUGGCUCACAGAGUAUCUUUGGGUCCUAGAAAUGACAUGCUAUUGGUUUUAAACUGAAAAACAUAUUUCAAAAAGCUGAACUUUUUAAUUUGUUGCAGUCCCCCAGAGUGUGCGCUGAGUACAAUGAAAACUUUUAACUCGUUUUCUUCGAAAUCAGAUAUUUUUUGGAAUUACGUAGCCAUUUUUCGUUUAAAUGUUAAUUAAUAAUUUGGGGCGUUUUUUUAGUCGAAAAUCGAUUUUUAAAAAAAGUUUGCCGCUUUAUCAAAAAUUAGUUAAAACGGAAUCCGUACAUACUUCCAAGGGACAUAGUUUGUAGAUCACAUCCUUUUACCAUAUUCCUACAAUAAAUUUUAAAAAUUAA